AACUACAAGAAAGCCAAGUUUGUUUUGUGUAUUAUACAGUUGAAAUUCUUUUCACACCAGAAUGUGAUAUUUUUCUUUGAUAUAGAUUGUUGCUGUGUUAUAUAGGUGUUGGAUCAGUUACUUCUACCGAUUGUUGCAGUGUUGUCCAGUUGUUGGAUCAGUUAAUUCUCUACCGAUUGUUCCCGUUUCAUUGAGUUGAUGGAUCAGUUACUUCUCUACCGAUUGUUCCUGUGUCAUCCAAUUGUUGGACUAGUUAUUUCUACUGAUUGUUCUCGUGCCAUUCAGGUGUUGGAUCAGUUACUUCUACUUGAAGAAACCAUCAACAGCUAUGAACAAAGAGUUCCACCGUUAGGUACACAAAAAUGAUCCAACUGUGUAUUCUUUGUGUUAAUGACAGUUUUAUAAUACUUUCAUUUGAGAGUUGGACAUUA